AUUAAUAAUCGAGGUCGAGAACCUCAAAAUUUAAU
rnacentral:ncRNA from 1 species